ACGGGGUGCAGCAGGCGCGAAACCUUUGCAAUGUGCGAAAGCACGACAAGGUUAAUCCGAGUGUCUCCCGCUAAGGGAGUCUUUUGUCAGUUCUAGAACCACUGGUGAAUAAGGGGUGGGCAAGUACUGGUGUCAGCCGCCGCGGUAAAACCAGCACCUCGAGUGGUCAGGAGGUUUAUUGGGCCUAAAGCAUCCGUAGCCGGUUGCAUAAGUUUUCGGUUAAAUCUAUGCGCUUAACGUAUAGGCCGCCGAAAAUACUGUGCAGCUAGGGAGUGGGAGAGGUACACGGUACUCGAUAGGAAGGGGUAAAAUCCUUUGAUCUAUUGAUGACCACCUGUGGCGAAGGCGGUGUACCAGAACACGUUCGACGGUGAGGGAUGAAAGCUGGGGGAGCAAACCGGAUUAGAUACCCGGGUAGUCCCAGCUGUAAACGAUGCAGACUCGGUGAUGCAUUGGCUUGUGGCCAAUGCAGUGCCGCAGGGAAGCCGUUAAGUCUGCCGCCUGGGAAGUACGUACGCAAGUAUGAAACUUAAAGGAAUUGGCGGGGGAGCAC
rnacentral:rRNA from 2 species